rnacentral:rRNA from 1 species
UACAGAGACCUCAAGCGUUAUCCGGAUUUAUUGGGCGUAAAGCGUCCGCAGGUGGCGGCGUCAGUCAUCGGUCAAAUCCGUGGGCUCAACCCAGGGACUGCCGGUGAUACUGCGUCGCUCGAGGACGGGAGAGGCGAGCGGAAUUGCUGGUGUAGUAGUAAAAUGCGUUAAUAUCAGCAAGAACACCGAAGGCGAAGGCAGCUCGCUGGAACGUUCCUGACACUCAUGGACGAAAGCGUGGGUAGCGAAAGGG